rnacentral:rRNA from 1 species
AUUGAACGCUGGCGGCAUGCUUUACACAUGCAAGUCGAACGGCAGCACGGGGGCAACCCUGGUGGCGAGUGGCGAACGGGUGAGUAAUGCAUCGGAACGUGCCCUGUCGUGGGGGAUAACACAUCGAAAGAUGUGCUAAUACCGCAUACGACCUGAGGGUGAAAGCGGGGGACCGUAAGGCCUCGCGCGAUAGGAGCGGCCGAUGUCUGAUUAGCUAGUUGGUGGGGUAAAGGCCUACCAAGGCGACGAUCAGUAGCUGGUCUGAGAGGACGACCAGCCACACUGGGGCUGAGACACGGCCCAGACUCCUACGGGCGGCAGCAGUGGGGAAUUUUGGACAAUGGGGGCAACCCUGAUCCAGCCAUGCCGCGUGCGGGAAGAAGGCCUUCGGGUUGUAAACCGCCUUUGGCAGGAACGAAACGGUGCGGGCGAAUACCCUGUGCUAAUGACGGUACCUGCAGAAUAAGCACCGGCUAACUACGUGCCAGCCGCCGCGGUAACAC